UGACGGGGCUCUCCGUUGCAGCGGCUCUUCCGGCUCACAUUGCUAUUGGGUGUUUUUCUUCGGUUAACCUGUAAAGAAGGAAAUGAUAAUCACAAUGGUGGAAGAAUUAUGCAGAACGGGAAUCGGGAAGGGCCUCAUCGGAGGCAUUUUGUGAAAUUCCACACAGCGCUGUCGUCGGGCUUUGCCCGCAAUUUUCGGCCAAUCCGCUAAUUUUUUGUCUCCGAUUUUGCCAUAAGAGUGUU
rnacentral:lncRNA from 1 species